UACGUAGGGGGCAAGCGUUGUCCGGAUUUAUUGGGCGUAAAGAGCGUGUAGGCGGCCAUACAGGUCAGCUGUGAAAACUCGAGGCUCAACCUCGAGACGUCGGUUGAAACCGUAUGGCUAGAGUCCGGAAGAGGAGAGUGGAAUUCCCGGUGUAGCGGUGAAAUGCGCAGAUAUCGGGAAGAACACCCGUGGCGAAGGCGGCUCUCUAGUACGGUACUGACGCUGAGACGCGAAAGCGUGGGGAGCGAACAGG
rnacentral:rRNA from 1 species